rnacentral:rRNA from 1 species
AACGAACGCUGGCGGCAUGCCUAACACAUGCAAGUCGAACGAAGGGUCGCACGAGUGCGUAACGCGUGGUAAUCUGCCCUUGGUUCGGAAUAACAGCUGGAAACGGCUGCUAAUACCGGAUGCCUGAGGAUGAGGCCGCGUGGGAUUAGGUAGUUGGUGGGGUAAAGGCCGACCAAGCCGACGAUCCAUUGCUGGUCUGAGAGGAUGAUCAGCCACACUUGGACUGAGACACGGGCCAGACUCCUACGGGAGGCAGCAGUGGGGAAUAUUGGACAAUGGGCGAAAGCCUGAUCCAGCAAUGCCGCGUGAGUGAUGAAGGCACUAGGGUUGUAAAGCUCUUUUACCCGGGAAGCUGUACCGGGAGAAUAAGCCCCGGCUAACUCCGUGCCAGCCGCCGCGGUAAUAC